GAAAAGGAACUGUAUCCAUGCUUCUUGAGGGAUACCAGGCCACUGCUGAAGCUGCUGCUCCCUCCUUUACUUUCUCUCAUUCUCAGGUUUCAAACCAAGUAGGGAAAAAUUAAGGAAACAUAAAAUAAUAUAUCUGAAGGCUAUUGAAACAGAUGCUGAGUUCCUAGCCAUCGUAUUCAGGCUUGCUGAUCAGAAUGAAUGGGAAAUUUUUUUUUCUAAUGCAAGCAUUGUACUUGGCACGAAAAUAGAAUACUACAUUGAUUCUUUUUCAGUGUAAGGACCUUUUCCCCCGCCAAGGCAAGCAGCCUUCCCAGUUAGCCAGCUCUUCUAGGCACUUUAAUAUGAUUUUGUUUGGGACCAAAGAAUGCAAAUGAGCUGACAUGCAGAUUCCCCUUUUCUUACAAAAUAAACAGCCUGGAGGUGCCUGGGAGAAGAGGGGCAGCCGUUGAUGGAGAGAGCUGAUGGGCGCUUGAGUUCACCUGAUAAGGGGUCCCUGCUACUUUGUUGCUCACCCACACAGAGCCAGAGGCUCACAAUGCCGCACUCAUUUCAGCCAGCUCCCAGAGCAAACCACCCCACCACCUGGCCUUUCCCCAUUCCCCAUUCCUCUUUCCUGCCUGAAGAAAACUUUUCUGCCCAGCAGGUGCUGGUGGGGGGCAUAGUGCUGUGCAAAGCUUGUCUCCCCUUCUACUCUUCAAUUCAUGACCUCACUGGUAAAGAGUCCCAUCUUUAUUAUUGCUGGAUCUCAGCAAAGCCAGCUGGAAGCGAAUCAGUGUGACUUCCGCCCUACCCCAGUCAAAUGAGGGGAGCAGGCAGCCUUGCCCUAGAGUCAUGGCCAGCAAGCCAUUCUGGAGCUUUCCUGCCCCCCAGUACACAGUUGUAUAUUCUUCAUUGUGAGUCCUUCUAGUUGUGGCAUGUGGGAUGCUGCCUCAGCGUGGUUUGAUGAGCAGUGCCAUGUCCGAGCCCAGGAUUCGAACCAACGAAACACUGGGCAGCCUGCAGUGGAGCGCGCGGACUUAACCACUUGACCACAGAGCCAGCCCUGAAGAUUGACAACUCUUGAUAGCAUGGCAUCUGAUAGAUUCUCUUGGAUACUAGGAGGAAUACAGAGAAGAGCAAGAUAAAGUCCCUAACUUCUAGGAGCCCACAAUCUCACAGAGGGACAAAUACCUAUUAAACCAAACUCUGAUACAAAGCUGGCACUGAUACAGAGCUAUAGGUUUACGAGGAAAUGAGAGAGAUAUUGAUUUUGACUGAAAUUGUUGGAGAAGUCAUCUUGGAAAAGGUAUGAUUUUAGUUGAGUUUCAAUGAAAGGGUCAGAGUUCUACAACUAAACAGAAAGAGAAAGACUAGGGGAAAGUUGGAGCAAAGAGAAUAAUGUUGGAAGGGCCCUGGAUAUAGGUGCGGAUAAGGAUUUACUAUGGAGCCCUGCACCAUUGGCUGAGUAGUUUUUUGGUCACAAAAUCCUGGUUGGAGAAAUGCUAUCUU
rnacentral:lncRNA from 1 species